CUCCAUGCCCUGUGCAUAGAAUGCAGGAUAUUAACCCAUGUUAGUCAUACAUACAUACAUACUUUAAGUUAAAUGUCAGGUUAUAAAUAAUAAAGAUUCACUACCUGGAUUACUACCAACAAUAAAAGCUAAAGUAUGAUUGUUAUAAAUGUGGAAUUUGUAGAAUAUUCCUAAAAGAUUGUAUUGUGUCUAAACUAGUAAUGCACUGAUUAGCAACACCAUUAAUUUUUCCUCCCUCUAGAGAUCUUUUUUGUCUUGCAGGUUACUAUAAUUCAACCCAGGGAUUUGUUGGACCUCAUCUGCAUCAGAGUGAGACUGUCCUUUGGGGUGAGGUAGUAGGUUGUAUAGUUUUAGGGUUAUACCCUGCCUGUCAGAUAACUAUACAAUCUACUGUCUUUCCUGAAGUGGCUGUGAUAGCGGCACAGGACGUUCCAUCACCGUAUCAGGAAACAACAUCUGUUACUGAUGCAUACGAAUGUAUGGGACAGGAGAGCGGAACCUUAAAGUAUUUGAAUCAGCCCAUCCAUUGACCUCGUUGAGCCAAGGACAUGAUUCAAGGGCCUAACACACCAACCAAAUAAUGUCCUCUUACUGAGUUGUACUUGAUAAGGGUAGCCUCUGUGUCUAGGUGUACACAUUUUGACUAACCAAACAGUAUGGUCUUCUUUAAAAUGUUUUGCAAAAAAAAUAACUCUUGUGGAAUAGAGCAUCUUUCUUUAGUACAGUAGUUCCAUAGGAAGUUUGCACAGAUCACAAUAUCCUCCAAAUGUAAAUUACAGCACUACUUGGCCACUACAGGUUUCUAGUUGAGACAGGAAUAGACCCAUUUGGCAGGUGGCAGUGAAGAAGAGGAGAGGGCCCAUUUGGUUAUCAGAGGGUGCUGCGAUGUGGCAGCAGAGGUAAAGUAUAGACCAAGACCACAUGGUAGGAAAAUCCCACACAAUAGACCUGGAGUGGUGACUCAUGAGUGGAAGCAGAAGGCAUUGCAAGGCUGCUGCUAAUCCUGAGGAGUGACUAGGAGGUGGGGAAAGGGCUGGUGGACAUAGGAAGGAGAGCAUGAGGCCAGUGCCGUACUGCAACACCUGGAGAAUGGCCAGCAGCACUAAAUACAGGUAUAGCCUAGUGGAAUGAGCACCAUCAUCCCCUCUUUGGCUCUGUUAGAUUCCUUGAACAGCAACCCCUGGUUGUCACCCAGUGGAAAUGGCAGCCUUGCCUUUCACUCCAAAUACAUUUAUGCAUCACCACAUGCAAGACUCUCUCUCUUAAUUGUGGAAGCAAAAGCCAAGAAGUAGCUGUGUUCUAUCAACGCCACCCAGUGCUUUGGCAGGAUGAGGUAGUAGGUUGUGUGGUUUCAGGGUAGUGAUUUUGCCCCAAUCAGGAGAUAACUAUACAACCUACUGCCUUCCCUGAGGAGCAGCUUUGCAGCUUGCCCAGAAAACCCAUUUCACUUUCAAGUAGACAAUCCAUGCAACAGUCCUCCCAAAGUAUCUUGAGAACUGUAUGAUUAUGCUGGGAAUUCUGUGUUGGAGAACCACUACCCCCACCUAAAAAUGCAGUCCCCAAGGACAAUAUGACUUUUAAGCCAGCUUCAAUCUAUGAAAUGGGACAGUAUGAAUUAGAGAAGAUGUUAUGGUCAUCUCCAGAGUAAACCUAUAUGUGAAAAUAGUAUUAUUUGGGAUUUUGUAUUCAGAGUUUAUAUAAUUUUAUGCCUGUCA
rnacentral:lncRNA from 1 species